rnacentral:rRNA from 1 species
AUUGAACGCUGGCGGCAGGCCUAACACAUGCAAGUCGAGCGGAUGAAGGGAGCUUGCUCCUGGAUUCAGCGGCGGACGGGUGAGUAAUGCCUAGGAAUCUGCCUGGUAGUGGGGGAUAACGUCCGGAAACGGGCGCUAAUACCGCAUACGUCCUGCGGGAGAAAGUGGGGGAUCUUCGGACCUCACGCUAUCAGAUGAGCCUAGGUCGGAUUAGCUAGUUGGUGGGGUAAAGGCCUACCAAGGCGACGAUCCGUAACUGGUCUGAGAGGAUGAUCAGUCACACUGGAACUGAGACACGGUCCAGACUCCUACGGGAGGCAGCAGUGGGGAAUAUUGGACAAUGGGCGAAAGCCUGAUCCAGCCAUGCCGCGUGUGUGAAGAAGGUCUUCGGAUUGGAAAGCACUUUAAGUUGGGAGGAAGGGCAGUAAGUUAAUACCUUGCUGUUUUGACGUUACCAACAGAAUAAGCACCGGCUAACUUCGUG